rnacentral:rRNA from 1 species
CCAGACAGCCAGGAUGUUGGCUUAGAAGCAGCCAUCAUUUAAAGAAAGCGUAAUAGCUCACUGGUCGAGUCGGCCUGCGCGGAAGAUGUAACGGGGCUAAACCAUGCACCGAAGCUGCGGCAGCGACGCUUAUGCGUUGUUGGGUAGGGGAGCGUUCUGUAAGCCUGCGAAGGUGUGCUGUGAGGCAUGCUGGAGGUAUCAGAAGUGCGAAUGCUGACAUAAGUAACGAUAAAGCGGGUGAAAAGCCCGCUCGCCGGAAGACCAAGGGUUCCUGUCCAACGUUAAUCGGGGCAGGGUGAGUCGACCCCUAAGGCGAGGCCGAAAGGCGUAGUCGAUGGGAAACAGGUUAAUAUUCCUGUACUUGGUGUUACUGCGAAGGGGGGACGGAGAAGGCUAUGUUGGCCGGGCGACGGUUGUCCCGGUUUAAGCGUGUAGGCUGGUUUUCCAGGCAAAUCCGGAAAAUCAAGGCUGAGGCGUGAUGACGAGGCACUACGGUGCUGAAGCAACAAAUGCCCUGCUUCCAGGAAAAGCCUCUAAGCAUCAGGUAACAUCAAAUCGUACCCCAAACCGACACAGGUGGUCAGGUAGAGAAUACCAAGGCGCUUGAGAGAACUCGGGUGAAGGAACUAGGCAAAAUGGUGCCGUAACUUCGGGAGAAGGCACGCUGAUAUGUAGGUGAAGUCCCUUGCGGAUGGAGCUGAAAUCAGUCGAAGAUACCAGCUGGCUGCAACUGUUUAUUAAAAACACAGCACUGUGCAAACACGAAAGUGGACGUAUACGGUGUGACGCCUGCCCGGUGCCGGAAGGUUAAUUGAUGGGGUCAGCGCAAGCGAAGCUCUUGAUCGAAGCCCCGGUAAACGGCGGCCGUAACUAUAACGGUCCUAAGGUAGCGAAAUUCCUUGUCGGGUAAGUUCCGACCUGCACGAAUGGCGUAAUGAUGGCCAGGCUGUCUCCACCCGAGACUCAGUGAAAUUGAACUCGCUGUGAAGAUGCAGUGUACCCGCGGCAAGACGGAAAGACCCCGUGAACCUUUACUAUAGCUUGACACUGAACAUUGAGCCUUGAUGUGUAGGAUAGGUGGGAGGCUUGGAAGUGUGGACGCCAGUCUGCAUGGAGCCGACCUUGAAAUACCACCCUUUAAUGUUUGAUGUUCUAACGUUGACCCGUGAUCCGGGUUGCGGACAGUGUCUGGUGGGUAGUUUGACUGGGGCGGUCUCCUCCUAAAGAGUAACGGAGGAGCACGAAGGUUGGCUAAUCCUGGUCGGACAUCAGGAGGUUAGUGCAAUGGCAUAAGC